AUUGAACGCUGGCGGCAGGCUUAACACAUGCAAGUCGAGCGGGGGAAGGUAGCUUGCUACUGGACCUAGCGGCGGACGGGUGAGUAAUGCUUAGGAAUCUGCCUAUUAGUGGGGGACAACAUCUCGAAAGGGAUGCUAAUACCGCAUACGUCCUACGGGAGAAAGCAGGGGAUCUUCGGACCUUGCGCUAAUAGAUGAGCCUAAGUCGGAUUAGCUAGUUGGUGGGGUAAAGGCCUACCAAGGCGACGAUCUGUAGCGGGUCUGAGAGGAUGAUCCGCCACACUGGGACUGAGACACGGCCCAGACUCCUACGGGAGGCAGCAGUGGGGAAUAUUGGACAAUGGGGGGAACCCUGAUCCAGCCAUGCCGCGUGUGUGAAGAAGGCCUUAUGGUUGUAAAGCACUUUAAGCGAGGAGGAGGCUACUUUAGUUAAUACCUAGAGAUAGUGGACGUUACUCGCAGAAUAAGCACCGGCUAACUCUGUGCCAGCAGCCGCGGUAAUACAGAGGGUGCGAGCGUUAAUCGGAUUUACUGGGCGUAAAGCGUGCGUAGGCGGCUUAUUAAGUCGGAUGUGAAAUCCCCGAGCUUAACUUGGGAUUGCAUUCGAUACUGGUGAGCUAGAGUAUGGGAGAGGAUGGUA
rnacentral:rRNA from 1 species